rnacentral:lncRNA from 1 species
GGAGCCAUAUGGCAAAGAUUAGGAGUUAUUGAGUGAAUUUAUUUAGCCCACUCCCCUCAAAAAACAUUGAUUCCUUUUCUUGACUCUAUUGCUCAAUUAGUAAUUAAAGGUAGAACUAGGAUUUUACAAUUAAUUGGAUCUGAGCCUGAUAUCAUAAUUAUUCCAUUUUCUGUUCAACAGACUAAUUGGUGUGGGAAGCCAUUCUCACACGUGAUUGGGCACCUCCCGGAUUGGGUGUGAGGCGCUCUGGCCAAACUGUGUUGGAGCUUUCCCCACCCUCUCCUGGUGUGAGAGCCUGUCCAUGUGGGGGUGUGACUGACCACUGACCUUGAGGCCAAUCACUGACACUGACCUUGGAAUGCUGCCCCCUUCGACCUUCAUUGGAUGGAAUUUUCCCCUGAAUUUCUUGUUCCCCAAUAAAAGGCCACUCCCUGGCAUGCUCUCUCUCUCUCUCCUGCUAGCCCUGAGUAAGCCUUGUUGCCCUACCAGGUGGUUUGAGGUGUGAUCCAGAGAGGUGAGAGCCAUCUUGGACCUGGUCAUAGAAAAAGGUAAUUGAGUCUGUGUGUUUAUUUUGAUCUCACUAGUUAACUUUUAUGCCACGAACCUCUUUAAUGAAACCAGUGCACUGGUCCCAUGGUGGAAUUUUGGCUUUUUCAAAGUUCUAGCUUAUGGCAGAUAGCUUUUGCUGAUUUUCCUGGCCAGAUAGAUAGCCAUUACCCUUGUGAUAAGAUUAUCCAAUUUGCAUCAUUAACG